AAUCAGUUAGACAGUGCUUAGUAGACAGAUUCAUGUCCACCGGCAAUACAGAAUGUCUGCAUCUUUGGGCGUAUAAUACUCGACCAGUAGGAGCACACUGGUUGCUGCUUGCUAUCAACCCUAUAAGGGAAGUCGUGUAUUAUCUGAAUUCGGUAAAUGGUGAAUGGACCAAUUAUCCGGCCAUGAAGGACAUCGUUGAUUUAUCAAUACAAGUGUUCCGAAGUCAACGGGACGCACAGGUAUCCCGAACUAAAUCUAGCAACAUUACUUGGAUCCAAGUGCAG